CCUUUGACGUUAGCGGCGGACGGGUGAGUAACACGUGGGUAACCUACCUAUAAGACUGGGAUAACUUCGGGAAACCGGAGCUAAUACCGGAUAAUAUUUCGAACCGCAUGGUUCGAUAGUGAAAGGUGGUUUUGCUAUCACUUAUAGAUGGACCCGCGCCGUAUUAGCUAGUUGGUAAGGUAACGGCUUACCAAGGCGACGAUACGUAGCCGACCUGAGAGGGUGAUCGGCCACACCGGAACUGAGACACGGUCCAGACUCCUACGGGAGGCAGCAGCU
rnacentral:rRNA from 1 species